GCCCUGACUCCGGGAUAAGCGGUGGAAACGCCGUCUAAUACCGGGAUACGACCCUCUUCCGCAUGGUCGAGGGUGGAAAGUUUUUCGGUCGGGGAUGGGCUCGCGGCCUAUCAGCUUGUUGGUGGGGUAACGGCCUACCAAGGCGAUUACGGGUAGCCGGCCUGAGAGGGCGACCGGCCACACUGGGACUGAGACACGGCCCAGACUCCUGCGGGAGGCAGCAGUGGGGAAUAUUGCGCAAUGGGCGAAAGCCUGACGCAGCGACGCCGCGUGGGGGAUGACGGCCUUCGGGUUGUAAACCUCUUUUACCACUCACGCAGGCUCCGCGUUCUCGCGGGGUUGACGGUAGGUGGGGAAUAAGGACCGGCUAACUACGUGCCAGCAGCCGCGGUAAUACGUAGGGUCCGAGCGUUGUCCGGAAUUAUUGGGCGUAAAGAGCUCGUAGGCGGCGUGUCGCGUCUGCUGUGAAAGACCGGGGCUUAACCCCGGUUCUGCAGUGGAUACGGGCAUGCUAGAGGUAGGUAGGGGAGACUGGAAUUCCUGG
rnacentral:rRNA from 1 species